rnacentral:rRNA from 1 species
CCUACGGGAGGCAGCAGUGGGGAAUAUUGGACAAUGGGGGGAACCCUGAUCCAGCGACGCCGCGUGAGUGAAGAAGUAUUUCGGUAUGUAAAGCUCUAUCAGCAGGGAAGAAAAUGACGGUAACUGACUAAGAAGCCCCGGCUAACUACGUGCCAGCAGCCGCGGUAAUACGGAGGGGGCAAGCGUUAUCCGGAUUUACUGGGUGUAAAGGGGGCGGAGACGGUGCAGCAAGUCUGAUGUGAAAGGGCAGGGCCCAACCCCGGGACUGCAUUGGAAACUGUUGAACUGGAGUGCAGGAGAGGUAAGCGGAAUUCCUAGUGUAGCGGUGAAAUGCGUAGAUAUUAGGAGGAACACCAGUGGCGAAGGCGGCUUACUGGACUGUAACUGACGUUGAGGCUCGAAAGCGUGGGGAGCAAACAGGAUUAGAUACCCUAGUAGUC